rnacentral:lncRNA from 1 species
GACGCGCACCCGGCCCGGCGCAGCGCACACACCGGCCCCGGUUUCAGGUGCGCAAAUCCCACCGAACGAGGAGUGCGCGUUUUCGUCGAGACGGGGAAAAGGCAGCGGCGCCCGUGGGUCAGCGUUUCCCAUUCACCAAAGCGUGGAUCCUCCCCACGAAACCCUCCAGUCCGGUAAACACGCCUCAGCAGCGGCCGGGCUCUAUGCGCAAAAGCGGCCACAUGAGGAGAAUCCAAGGAGGCAGCGAUGGGAAAUGAAAAAUGUCCACGCCGGGGAUCCGUUGGAGGAAUGCUACGUGAAGUGCCCCCGUUUUCCAGUCGUGUGUGACCGACCUGUCUCCCUCCAGACAGAUGUGUUUACGGCUGCGGCGGAGGACGCGGUGGAUGAAAGAGACGCAGACUGUGAAAUGCCCUGAUUGAUCACCAGCCUUAUUUUUGACUGGUUUACUGGUAAAAUGGGACAAUCCAAAACCAAGCCUCGGGCUGAAUGUAGCUUCCACCACACGCUCUUUGGCUUUUAAAAUAGUCUCAAAGUUGGGUUGUGUUUGAUAUAAAACCUCUAUAAACCUUCAAAUAUUGCCACAUUUGAAAUUAAAAUUAAAAUAUUCCCCCUUUGAUCCCAUUCUCUUGUUACAUUAAAGUAUUUUGGCACAUCUGUAAAUCGCUUUCCUUAAAAUCUGCAGCAAUUUAUUUCAAAGAUAAAGUCAAACAGCAUUUCACCAAGCAGGAUUAGCUGCUCUGUCUAAUUAGAUUGUAUUUCAUUUAAUAUUAAUUUUAUUUAUUAUAAUAGAUCCUAAUAGUUUUUUCCUUACCUAAUGUGCUUAUGUCCAAUAUUUUUUCCAUCUCAUGUCUGCCCUCACCUGCUGCUAUUGGCCCCUAAUGCUUCUGUCUAGUCAGUGAGUCUGAUGGACAUUUAUCAUUAAUGAGUUUGCAUUACAGGCAAUAGGACAACGGCCAAAAAUCUGAUGAGCUUCUAUAUGGAAUCAUAUUUCAGCGAUGAAUUAGACGUUCGUCGUUGAGACUUAGUUCCUACAGUUACAUGGGUCAAAUGAUGUAACGAGUACAGUCUGUGUGGUCCGGUGUCAGAGUUCACUCCCUGGGGAGGAGCGCGCUGAAAGACAGGACGAUGCAUGCGUUCGUGUGUAGGGCGAAGCCGCCACGAGCACUCAGAGGGUGACAUCACCUGAGCGGAUUCAUGACGAGCUAUUUGGAGAAGAAAGGAGGGCUAUUGUAGGGCAGAUAAGGGGACUUACUGAGCCGGCUUCUUUUUAAACUGAAUAAAAUGUAGGUGUCCAGGUUAUAAUUACUAGCA